rnacentral:rRNA from 1 species
UGGGGAAUUUUGGACAAUGGGCGAAAGCCUGAUCCAGCAAUGCCGCGUGUGUGAAGAAGGCCUUCGGGUUGUAAAGCACUUUUGUCCGGAAAGAAAUCCUUGGCUCUAAUACAGUCGGGGGAUGACGGUACCGGAAGAAUAAGCACCGGCUAACUACGUGCCAGCAGCCGCGGUAAUACGUAGGGUGCAAGCGUUAAUCGGAAUUACUGGGCGUAAAGCGUGCGCAGGCGGUUUGCUAAGACCGAUGUGAAAUCCCCGGGCUCAACCUGGGAACUGCAUUGGUGACUGGCAGGCUAGAGUAUGGCAGAGGGGGGUAGAAUUCCACGUGUAGCAGUGAAAUGCGUAGAGAUGUGGGGGAAUACCGAUGGCGAAGGCAGCCCCCUGGGCCAAUACUGACGCUCAUGCACGAAAGCGUGGGGAGCAAACAGGAUUAGAUACCCUGGUAGUCCACGCCCUAAACGAUGUCAACUAGUUGUUGGGGAUUCAUUUCCUUAGUAACGUAGCUAACGCGUGAAGUUGACCGCCUGGGGAGUACGGUCGCAAGAUUAAAACUUAAAGGAAUUGAC